AACAGAGGAAGUAUAUUUAAUGUUUAAAUUGAGGGUUACAUAAGAGUAAAUGAGAGAGUAACUAAGUUUUAAAAUCUUGAGUGUGGUGGAGGCCAUGUGCAUUGGCUGGGAAAGUCACGUUCUGCAUAAACCAUUUGGUAUAAUAAGUUUUAUUUAAGUUUUAGAAAGUUGAGCUUGGGUGAGUGGGGUCCGCGUUAUUUAUCUUAGGAAGAGAAAAGUUACUUUUGUUAAUUUCAUGGGUCACUUUAAUGCUUAAAGGUGUGUGUGUGUGUUACAUGCAAAGUGGAUGUUUACGUAAAGUGGUGAGGGGUAGUGAUUAGGUGGACCAUGUGGGGUAAACUUAGGUAGGUGAAAUAGUUUUUGGUAGACAUAGGAAAAUAGGGGUGUGUGUAAAUAAUUGACUAUUUUAUUUUGGGAUGACUUGUCGUUAAUUUUGUGGAUGUUUAAUAAUUGUUUUGAGAAUGUUGGGCGUAUGUGAAUAUUAUUUGGUGGUUGUGCUUGUGAGAUUGGAUUUAUGUGUGUGCGAUGCUCGGUGAAGCUCCUGGAAGAGUGGUGGAAGUAGCAGUGGUACUUGCCCGGUGAAGCUCUCUGAGAAUAGAGUGGUGGGAGGUGUAUACUUGUCCAGUGAAGCCCAAGAGGAUGGUGGAAAGCAUAUACUUGCCCGGGGAAGCUCUAAGAGAGUGGUGGGAAGUGGUGUACUUGCCGGUGAAGCCUUUCAGAGAGUGGUGGGAAAUGUCUUUGUGUAAUGGUGUCGUAAAGUGUACCUGCCCGGUAAAGCUCCUUAAGAGAGGUGAAACUCGGCCUUGUUUUGUAUGCGAGCAACUCGGUGGUGAUUCAAUAUAUAUAGUGAAUUGUUUCAAAUAAACUGGGGUAUGAGUUGGUGAGUGACCAAGUGAGUUUGGGUGUGACUUGGUUACGUUGACGAAAUUAUUGUAUGAUUAUAUGUUGGUGACUUAGAAUUCUGAUGGCGUGGAUGUUAAUGGUUUGAUAUGUUGUCAUAUGAAGAUGUGCGUAAGUGAUAACGGGUCAAAAACCAUUAUUUUGAUACUUAAUUUUGAUAUUUAAUGCACCCUUUUUGACUUAGAAACUAGCUUGGACUCAAGAUUUUGAUUUAGUUUUGUGAAUAAUAGAGUUGAGGUUAUACUUUAUGAUUUUAUCACUAAAUUCCCUUGAUUUUAUAGGUUAUUGGAAUGAUUUGAAAGAAGGGUUGAAGUAUUAAGGAGUUGCAAUGCAGAAAAGUCAACCAGCCAACUAGGAAGGUGACAACUCUCCUCU
rnacentral:lncRNA from 1 species